rnacentral:lncRNA from 1 species
CGAGACUGGAAGAAUGCAUAAUAAAAGUCCGAAACUUGCGCGUUCGUUCCGCAUCCUAAAUGCUAUCUGUAUUGACAGCUCCACUGGGUUAGGCCUCUGUUCUAAGGGACGCUGGGAGUUCUGCCUCAACUUAGAAAUCCCUGGUAAAGUGCCUAGGUAAUAAGACGGGACCGCCCGCCUAAUGUACUCAGUCAAGAUGGCUGAGCUCUCCUAAAUAGCAAACCCUGCCUUUGUCAGCGCGUCAAAUCUGGAUCAAGCUAGUAUUGUAUUUCGAUAUUGACAGUUUUCUGCACACUGGCUUUGGGGGAGUUGGCGGUCCCCCUUUCCUACAAGGUUUAGGGGUAGACAAAAUAAUUCGAAGUCUUUAAAGUUGCGAUAAAUAUGUUGACACCAACAGUAGAGUUGGCUAUGAAGGGAAAGAGGGGAAAAAAGAAGCGAUUUCUGAGAUGGUGAGGCAAGCCUAGCACUUCGCUGAGGGAAGAGGAAAAGCAGUGGGGAAGUAAAGGAAGGCUCCUCCCCCAGCAUGUACUGUUUGCUUUGCAUCUAAUGAAGGGUACAGGGGCCUUUCUCUGCUAUUGUUGCCUGAGGCCUAGAAUUUAAAUAUAUCACAGAAGGAAAUUCCAUAUUAAAAACCCUUCCCCUAAAAUGUAAGUAAGAUUAUUCUUGAUUGAAUUUUUUUUUCACUAAAGGAAUGUUCCUUGAAGUCGUUUCAGAAAAUAAAACUCUUAAAUUUUCCUCAGGCCCGUGAAAUUACCCUGGAGAAACAGACCACCACCUAUUUCUUGACUGCUACUGUAGAGACCAUCUCUCCAACUCCCAAAUCGAGAUUUAAUGUGAUCGGCUGUCUCAUAUUCCUGCCACCAUGACAUUUCUGACAUGAUGGACUGUGUUCUCUCAAACUGUGAGCCAAAGUUCUUCCAAUGUAACACAAGAUGGUCCUAACUGAUGGUGGUUCCCCUGGCUCAGCAUCUUCAGUGGUGUCAGCUUCCACUCCCACUCUGUCUCCCUUCAUUGAGAGCUGCUCACACCUUUGUCUUCUGGUCCGCACCAUUAGGUUGAAGGCAGAGAAUCAUUGUACUGAGCAUCUCUGGAUGAACUGACAAAGGAAAAGAGUGAACUGUGCAAUAGAGUUAACCAACAUCUAGCAUCUCAGAAUAUGGGGAAGGACAACAAUAGACUCAGCAGUAAAACUG